AUACCUUUCUCGGCCUUUUGGCUAAGAUCAAGUGUAGUAUCUGUUCUUAUCAGUUUAAUAUCUGAUAUGUGGUCCAUCGGGCCACACGAUAUUAACUCUAUUUUUUAAGGGAGAAGGCCCAUUAAGGUAGCUUGCUAUCUGGGCUUUCACGAGUCGCCCAUGCGUUGCACUACUGCACGGGCCUGGCUCAACCCAC
rfam:Arabis alpina cultivar Pajares Aa.chr3_contig_4392, whole genome shotgun sequence.